CCCCGCGUGCUAGGGGAGCCGAAGCCCAUCCCCGUCCCCUCAGUCCUGCAGGGCAGCGGCUUUUUAAGCCGUCCAGCCCACUGGAAGGAAAGGAAUUACGCCCAGAGGCAGGAAAAUGUAAAUCCACACGGAAGCGCCAGGGGGCUGGAGGCGGCGUCACCUCCGUUCCCCGCACAUCGGCCCAGCAGCGAGGCGAGAGGGAGCCGCCGGCGCCCGGCGCCGGGCCGGCACUGCUGGCUCGCGCCUCCGGGCCUCGAUUUCCCCAUCGGGGCUGAUCGCCAGCUCUGUCCCCGGGGUUAUUUAGCAAGCAGCGGAGCAGCGAGCGGGCCUCGGCGCUGCGAUGACUCUUCCCUCCCAGUGAUUGCCUGCGUGACGCAUCUCGCCCGCGAUGACGCCGCGGGAGCGGACGCCCCGAGACUUGAGGGCAAAAGCGGCAUUUCUGCCGGCGCUGCAGUGGGCUCGGUGGUGAUGCCCCCAGCCGGGACCCGGCGAGCUGGACCGGGGGGUCGGGGGCCAGGGCAUCCCCGUGCCCAGCCAUGCUGGCGGGUGGCCGGGAAAAUACGGGAAUGGAAACCUCCGGCCCCGACGGGUUCGCUUUGCAUCACUGCCUCCUCGCCCACGGCGCCUCUCCCCAUUUGCCCCGGCAGCCACUUUCGCCUGGGCUCUCAGCUGCUCCCCCGAGUCCGGGCAAAACAACCUCGCUCAGGACAAACCCGUGCACGAGCCCAGGGACGGUCUGGGCAAGGCGGCGAUUUCAGCCAUAUGAGCAAUAACCUGCCCCGGGCCCUAAAUUCCCCUUUUGCAACCCGUUCCCGGUGCCAGGGACGCCCUCCCCGGCUCGCAGAUUAACUCGAGGAACGGCGCGCCCCGUGCCAGCCGCGUUCGGCCGCCGCCGGGCCGUAUCGGGGCAGGCUUUUGUGUGCCGGCUGCCCGGCCCCAAUAAAUGGUUCACUGGAGUGAUAAAA